rnacentral:misc_RNA from 1 species
UUACAUUGUUGCACAUUGUGUAGAGAAAGCCUUAUGAACACAUGCAGAUCUCUUAUUUAAGAAUAUUUUUGCUGGAUAAUUACAUGGAGAAUAUUCUAUAUAAGAAUCUUGGGGAGUCUGCAUACUAAAUUGGUAGAUGCUAGAUAAUUACAUAAAAUCAAGGUUUUUUAAACUCAGUCCAGUCAUUAAAUCAGUGAAAGUAGAGAGUUAAAG